rnacentral:lncRNA from 1 species
GUAGCAACAGAUAACAAUUGAUAUGUUAUAAGGCCCUGAUAGAGCUGGGUCAAAGAAUCCACAUCUAAUUCUAAGCUAUCAUCACAGCUUCUUAUAGAACCUCCUUACCCAGGAGAAACCCUGAGAGAAAGACAGGGGAGCCUUCAGAGGCCAUCAGUGAACUUCCCAGCUCUGUUGCCUGACAGCAAGUAAGUCCUGUGGGUCCUGGGAAGCCCAAGCUACAUGGAAUAUGAGCUGAGUGCAGAAAAGGACACUUGAUGUCCCUGGACAUGUGCUUCGCAUGACUCUGCCUGGGACCCACAAGACAGCAUCUUUGCAGGGAUAUCAUCAGGAGAACCUUAGCCUGAGUGGCUACUCGGGAAGACUCGGAACCUAGGUCUGCGGACUCUGGCCCCAGAGGCCCUCCUAGCAUCCACCGAUCUAUACCCUCUGUGCCAACAAGACCCUGGUGACUUUCUUAUAUCCUUUUUAUGUCCAACAGAUAGAAAUAAUUGCCCAUGUACAAAUAAACAUUUCAAGCACUA